rnacentral:rRNA from 1 species
UACGUAGGGGGCAAGCGUUGUCCGGAUUUAUUGGGCGUAAAGAGCGUGUAGGCGGCCAUACAGGUCAGCUGUGAAAACUCGAGGCUCAACCUCGAGACGUCGGUUGAAACCGUAUGGCUAGAGUCCGGAAGAGGAGAGUGGAAUUCCUGGUGUAGCGGUGAAAUGCGCAGAUAUCAGGAGGAACACCGGUGGCGAAGGCGGGUCUCUGGGCCGAUACUGACGCUGAGGAGCGAAAGCGUGGGGAGCGAACAGG